rnacentral:rRNA from 1 species
GUUCACAGCCAUAUCACCCUGAAUGCACCUUGAAUACACCUAUCUCAUCUGAUCUUGCGAGUUAAGCAGGGUUAAGCCUGGUUAGUACUGGAUGGGAUUAAAAUAGAUUGGCAAUUAAGGAGCUAGGGCUCUAAAUU